rnacentral:tRNA from 1 species
GCCUUCGUUGUGUAGUGGUCAGCACGCUGGACUCGAAUUCGAGAGGUCCGUGGUGCGAGUCCCUGCGAAGGCA